rnacentral:rRNA from 1 species
GAACUUGCCUCACAGCUAGGGACAACAUUUAGAAAUGAAUGCUAAUACCUGAUAUUAUGAUUUUAAGGCAUCUUAGAAUUAUGAAAGCUAUAAGCACUGUGAGAGAGCUUUGCGUCCCAUUAGCUAGUUGGAGAGGUAACAGCUCACCAAGGCGAUGAUGGGUAGCCGGCCUGAGAGGGUGAACGGCCACAAGGGGACUGAGACACGGCCCUUACUCCUACGGGAGGCAGCAGUGGGGAAUAUUGGACAAUGGACCGAGAGUCUGAUCCAGCAAUUCUGUGUGCACGAUGAAGUUUUUCGGAAUGUAAAGUGCUUUCAGUUGGGAAGAAAGAAAUGACGGUACCAACAGAAGAAGUGACGGCUAAAUACGUGCCAGCAGCCGCGGUAAUACGUAUGUCACGAGCGUUAUCCGGAUUUAUUGGGCGUAAAGCGCGUCUAGGUGGUUAUGUAAGUCUGAUGUGAAAAUGCAGGGCUCAACUCUGUAUUGCGUUGGAAACUGUAUAACUAGAGUACUGGAGAGGUAAGCGGAACUACAAGUGUAGAGGUGAAAUUCGUAGAUAUUUGUAGGAAUGCCAAUGGGGAAGCCAGCUUACUGGACAGAUACUGACGCUAAAGCGCGAAAGCGUGGGUAGCAAACAGGAUU